rnacentral:rRNA from 1 species
CCCUUAGAUGUUCUGGGCAGCACGCGCGCUACAAUGGUCUUCGCAAACGGAUGCAUUCUCGAAGGAGAAUGCCAAUCUUGGAAUCUAUGCCUUGGUCGGGACAGUUGCUUGCAAUUUUUCGACUCGAACCAGGAAUUCCUUGUAAUCGUGAUUCAUCACAUCACGAUGAAUACGUCCCUGCCCUUUGUACACACCGCCCGUCGCUCCUACCGAUUGAAUGGUCCGGUGAAGUGUUCGGAUCGAGGCGACAUGGGCGGUUCGCUGCCUGUGACGUUGCGAGAAGUCCACUGAACCUUAUCAUUUAGAGGAAGGAGAAGUCGUAACA